GACGAACGCUGGCGGCGUGCCUAAUACAUGCAAGUAGAACGCUGAAGGAGGAGCUUGCUCUUCUGGAUGAGUUGCGAACGGGUGAGUAACGCGUAGGUAACCUGCCUAGUAGUGGGGGAUAACUAUUGGAAACGAUAGCUAAUACCGCAUAAUAACAGUUGUUGCAUGACAACUGUUUGAAAGGUGCAAUUGCAUCACUACCAGAUGGACCUGCGUUGUAUUAGCCAGUUGGUGGGGUAACGGCUCACCAAGGCGACGAUACAUAGCCGACCUGAGAGGGUGAUCGGCCACACUGGGACUGAGACACGGCCCAGACUCCUACAGGAGGCAGCAGUAGGGAAUCUUCGGCAAUGGACGAAAGUCUGACCGAGCAACGCCGCGUGAGUGAAGAAGGUUUUCGGAUCGUAAAGCUCUGUUGUAAGAGAAGAACGAGUGUGAGAGUGGAAAGUUCACACUGUGACG
rnacentral:rRNA from 1 species